GAUGAACGCUGGCGGCGUGCCUAAUACAUGCAAGUCGAGCGAACAGAUGAGGAGCUUGCUCCUCUGACGUUAGCGGCGGACGGGUGAGUAACACGUGGAUAACCUACCUAUAAGACUGGGAUAACUUCGGGAAACCGGAGCUAAUACCGGAUAAUAUAUUGAACCGCCUGGUUCAAUAGUGAACGACGGUUUUGCUGUCACUUAUAGAUGGAUCCGCGCCGCAUUAGCUAGUUGGUAAGGUAACGGCUUACCAAGGCAACGAUGCGUAGCCGACCUGAGAGGUUGAUCGGCCACACGGGAACUGAGACACGGUCCAGACUCCUACGGGAGGCAGCAGUAGGGAAUCUUACGCAAUGGGCGAAAGCCUGACGGAGCAAAGCCGAGUGAGUGAUGAAGGUCUUCGGAUCGUAAAACUCUGUUAUUAGGGAAGAACAAAUGUGUAAGUAACUAUGCACGUCUUGACGGUACCUAAUCAGAAAACCACGGCUAACUACGUG
rnacentral:rRNA from 1 species